GCCUGGUGGGUAGUUUGACUGGGGCGGUCUCCUCCCAAAGAGUAACGGAGGAGCACGAAGGUGGGCUAAUCACGGUCGGACAUCGUGAGGUUAGUGCAAUGGCAUAAGCCCGCUUGACUGCGAGAAUGACAAUUCGAGCAGGUGCGAAAGCAGGUCAUAGUGAUCCGGUGGUUCUGAAUGGAAGGGCCAUCGCUCAACGGAUAAAAAGGUACUCCGGGGAUAACAGGCUGAUACCGCCCAAGAGUUCAUAUCGACGGCGGUGUUUGGCACCUCGAUGUCGGCUCAUCACAUCCUGGGGCUGAAGUCGGUCCCAAGGGGUAUGGCUGUUCGCCAUUUAAAGUGGUACGCGAGCUGGGUUUAGAACGUCGUGAGACAGUUCGGUCCCUAUCUGCCGUGGGCGUGGAUGAUUGAGAGGGGCUGCUCCUAGUACGAGAGGACCGGAGUGGACGAACCGCUGGUGUUCGGGUUGUAUCGCCAGAUGCAUUGCCCGGUAGCUAAGUUCGGAAUCGAUAACCGCUGAAAGCAUC
rnacentral:rRNA from 1 species